GGGAGAAAUCGAAGAGAUAAGAAGAGGAGAAUGAACCCUAACCCUAAACAUGAUUUCAGCACAAACACAAAAAUCGAAGAGGAAGGAAUCACAUUUCAGUGAUUAAUCAGAAGAUAUUUCAUGGGUGUUUCAAAGAUAGGAAUCCUUACAUGUUUGAAGUUGAAUUGGAGUUAUGUAUCGAUCAACCAGAGAUAAAAAAAGGGGUAGUGUUAUGUAUCUCUCUUCGGUCACAGUGUGUUACCAUCUGUUUUUCUCAGUUCCCAAUCUCUACCCAACUCUCCUUGUAACCCUAGGUCGGACUCCCUUUCUCGCUUACUGUUUCCAUUUAUCUCUCUCCAUGUUUCCAUUACCUGGUGUUUAUUGAAUCAUAUUACAAUUCUCGACAUCCAAUUUCUUUAUUAGGUAGAAAAAGAAUAGGAUGUUGAGCUUAUUGGUGAUUAAUUGGAAACCCAAUUUGAACUUGGAUACGAAGGCAUUCAAUAGCCACUACCUAGCAGUAAAAUGUAAAUCAUUUGAUAUUUAUGAAGAAAUUAGGAGCUUAAUCAACUUCAAUUCACUUCUGGUGUGUUUGUUGAGGGUAGUUCCAACACGUGGCAAAACUAAAAUAGUUGAUAGUGAGCUCUUUAAGAUACCUGGUGUUCAGCAUGGAUGUCACAGAAACCACUCAAAGUAGCGGACUUAAGAGGGCAUAGGAUUGAAAAGCAGUUGGCAUUUCAAAUGAAUAGAUGAAUAGAACUUGUAUGAAGCAGAUUGAGGUAAGAAAGUUGAAAGAGGCUUUCACAGAUGCAAUUGAAACAGGAAGAAGACGAAUGAGUAAUUUCAAAACGUUGGAUUUCACGUAGUAAGAGAAUGAGUUUAAAUUGGAAAACAUAUCACGUUCAUGAUUUUGCUCGGUUGAGCAUUUAAUGGAGGAUUAACAGGAGGAAGAAUUCAAUGGUAGUUGAUGUGUGAACGAAAUAGAUGAUAAAAAGUUUACGAAGUAGAUUGAAGUAAGAAAAGCGAUUUAUUAACUGCAGAUGCUUUUGAAAGACAAAGAAGACAGGAUCUGUAAAUUAAAGAAGAUGUAUAUUACGUAUAGAGGUAUAUUUAUAUAUAGUUAUACAUAUAAAUGUUAUUAUUUUAAUAUUAUGAGAUUAUAACUCCGGAUUUUAUGCAUAUGUUGUUAUUAAAAUUGGAUUGGAUAUUUUUUUGUACCUGAUCUUAUGGGAUUUAAUAGACUUUUGAUCAAUUCUUAAUAAAUAUACGAUUUGCAGUUAAGAAGGGAUUACAUAAAAUGACAAUGAAAUAUGUUAUAUGGACGAAAUUAAAAAAUUAUUUAUGGUAUUGAUAUAUUUGACUUGAACAUGCGGUGUAUAGUUUAUCUUAUUAAAAGAUUUUUGCAUAUUUUCUGAAAAUCAUAAUAUUCUUUCUAAUUUUAUUAAUGAAUCUUUAUCUUUAUUCUUUAUGUUACAUACUUGUCGGGAUUGUAUGUAUCAAUUACAUGAAAGGACUUGAAGUUGGAGAUGAAGAAAAGAAGCGGGAAAAAACAAAUUUGGAGGUCUGGCAGAUUGACACGUGGAAGUCUGGUACUUAUUUUCUUCAGCUGCGAUAAUAAUAUGGAGCAAAAUUGACGUGGUGAAUGAAGGGUAGAACCGGAAAUUCACUUAGUGAAAAAAGUGGGAAAAUUCAAAGGGGGAAGGCUAUAUGAUUGACACGUGUCUAAGUUGUACUUAUUUAUUAUAAUAGGAGAUUAUUCUACGAUGUACAACCCCAUUAAUUAAUUUGACAAAAAAACCCUUAAAUGAGAGGGUGUACGAUUACAUAUCAGCCCAUAAAAAAAAGGUCCUUGGUCCAUGAAAAUGCAAGGGCACAUUUCUUGUCGGAUCUUGUUCUUGAUUUUCUCCCUGGUUUUUUUGAUAGCUGCCUGCAUACAUUAAAAAAAUCCGGAGCUUCUUCUUGAAGGUUUUCAUUAAAGAUUCUUCUAUUAGAACUUUUCGCAUUUUGGCUUAAAAGAGGCUGCGAACUUGUGAUUAAGUACAAAUUUAAGAUUCGUGAGCAAUUUCACUAUCGAUCAAGAUUGGUGGUAAAACAUGAUUCCAGCACUCGAAUCUAUCAAGGGUGGCGGAGGAUCCAUCAAAAUUGGAACCACCGGUACAAUAAGUGCCUUAAUGUCAAGAGAAUUACACACAGUCGAAGAUGCAUCUUCAAAUUCCGCCAUUGAAGCAAGCUCAAGCAACAGCAGCAGUACAAACGAAAAGAACACCGACACCGGCCGGAAAACCAAAACCCACAAAACGAGAAAAAGUGGCCGGAAUCCUAAUAGACGAAAGGGUUCUUAUAUAGUUGAAGUGGUGGACAUAAAGUGCAGGAUGCCCGAUCCCAUAACAAAUCGACUCAAGAAGCUUAAUUUCUCCAAGCUUUCAGAAACCAAUAGCUAAAUCGAUAAUCUUUUAGGGUUUUUGUAACGUACCACUGUAAUUUUCUCCACUUCGAUGGCUGAACACAUGCUUGGUACGAACCUGUUCUUUCUUCUUGGCUUAGUGUGUCUGCCAUUUUUGCGUGUUUGAGCUGCUACUGGGAUUUCGAGCCUGUUGAAGUACUCGAUUUCUUGGAUUAUGAGUGACCCGACUGUUCCUUUCGUCCCUAUCUCAACCGGAAGUUUUGUAGCCAUUUUUUCAGGGAUAAAUGAAGAAGUUGCAGGAUCAGAGGUAGAAGAAGGUGAUAUAGUGGGCAUUUUAUUUUAUGGUUUUAGUGAUGAACUGUUGAUGAGCUUGAAAUCUUUGCCUUAUGAUUUAUAUCCAGGAGAAUGAUGUUUUUGUAAGAAGAUUGGGUGGGUGAUGUGGCAACGUUUUCUUCAUGAAAAUGCUGUGAGAUGAUGACAUUAAAUUUUGGACCAAUUAUCAAUAAACAUCCUUAUAUA